GUAAAUAUAGUUUAACGAAAACACUAGAUUGUGAUUCUAGAAAUGAAGACUAAUAUCCUUCUAUUCACC
rnacentral:tRNA from 1 species